rnacentral:lncRNA from 1 species
UUGGACUUGUAUAUUUGCUUUGGGUUUGCUGCUCGAUCUUCUCUGCACUGGUUUGCAGCCUUCAGAUGAACUUAAAUCCACCCUUGAACCGAUAAGGAGCUCCCAUCCUGAAACCGCAGAUGCUGAUCCUGCAACCGUUGUUUGCUGUAUCCUGCAGAAAUGUGAUCCCCUGCGGGUAGAAUAUUGGUCUUGGUUCAAGGCCACUAUUUCUCAGAUGUCCUGACUUCACAUGGGUUCACCCAACCGUUGUUUGCUGUAAACCUGCAGAAAUGUGAUCCCCUGCGGGUAAAUUAUUGGUCUUGGUUCAAGGCCACUCUUUCUCAGAUGUCUUGACUUCACAUGGGUUCACCCCUUUUUGUCCUCGUUGGGACGGACUCUGAGAUAGAC